GAAAUGCGAUAAGUAAUGUGAAUUGCAGAAUUCAGUGAAUCAUCGAAUCUUUGAACGCACCUUGCGCCCCUUGGCAUUCCGAGGGGCAUGCCUGUUUGAGUAUCAUGAACACCUCAACUCUCUACGGUUUGCCGUGGAGAGCUUGGACUUUGGAGGUUUGCUGGCCCUCGGUCGGCUCCUCUCAAACGAAUCAGCUUCCCAGUGUUUGGUGGCGUCACGGGUGUGAUAACUAUCUACGCUCGCGAUCCGUCCGCCUCGCAACCUUCAGCGAUGGAGGUUCGCUGGAGCUCAAAAACGUCUCUCCUCAGCGAAGACAGCUUUUCUGACGUUCGAUCUCAAAUCAGGUAGGACUACCCGCUGAACUUAA
rnacentral:misc_RNA from 1 species